GAUGAAGAACGCAGCGAAAUGCGAUACGUAAUGUGAAUUGCAGAUUUCAGUGAAUCAUCGAAUCUUUGAACGCACAUUGCGCCCGCCAGUAUUCUGGCGGGCAUGCCUGUUCGAGCGUCAUUUCAACCAUCAAGCCUUCGCUUGUGUUGGGGCCCCGCGGCUGCCGCGGUCCCCUAAAUCCAGUGGCGGGCUCGUCGUCGUACCGAGCGCAGUAGACAUCCUCGCUCCGGGAACCCGACGGGUGCCGGCCGUGAAACCCCCCACAUCAAGGUUGACCUCGGAUCAGGUAGGAAUACCCGCUGAACUUAAGCAUAUCAAUAAGCGGAGA
rnacentral:misc_RNA from 1 species